AUUGAACGCUGGCGGCAUGCCUUACACAUGCAAGUCGAGCGGCAGCGCGGGGGCAACCCUGGCGGCGAGCGGCGGACGGGUGAGUAAUACAUCGGAACGUGUCCUUUCGUGGGGGAUAACCAGUCGAAAGACUGGCUAAUACCGCAUGAGAUCUCACGAUGAAAGCGGGGGACCGCAAGGCCUCGCGCGAUUGGAGCGGCCGAUGUCGGAUUAGCUAGUUGGCGGGGUAAAAGCCCACCAAGGCGACGAUCCGUAGCUGGUUUGAGAGAACGACCAGUCACACUGGGACUGAGACACGGCCCAGACUCCUACGGGAGGCAGCAGUGGGGAAUUUUGGACAAUGGGCGCAAGCCUGAUCCAGCCAUGCCGCGUGUGUGAAGAAGGCCUCGG
rnacentral:rRNA from 1 species